rnacentral:rRNA from 1 species
UACGAAGGGGGCUAGCGUUGCUCGGAAUCACUGGGCGUAAAGCGCACGUAGGCGGAUCUUUAAGUCAGGGGUGAAAUCCCAAGGCUCAACCUUGGAACUGCCUUUGAUACUGGGGAUCUCGAGUCCGGAAGAGGUAAGUGGAACUGCGAGUGUAGAGGUGAAAUUCGUAGAUAUUCGCAAGAACACCAGUGGCGAAGGCGGCUUACUGGUCCGGUUCUGACGCUGAGGCGCGAAAGCGUGGGGAGCAAACAGG